rfam:Hordeum vulgare subsp. vulgare, WGS project CAJW01000000 data, contig: morex_contig_47340
UGGCGAUGAUGAUACGACUAAGGCUUGUUUCUCAAAACAUUCGCAGAUGCCGCCUAAGAGCUUUCGCCCUGCCAGGCUUUUGAGAGCUAAUGCUGCUAAUUCCUUCCUUGGAUGUCUGAGCCA